GUCGUCGUGGCCGAGUGGUUAAGGCGACAGACUUGAAAUCUGUUGGGCUCUGCCCGCACAGAUUCGAAUCCUGUCGGUGACG
rfam:Ciona savignyi cont_30751, whole genome shotgun sequence.